AUUGAACGCUAGCGGCAGGCCUAACACAUGCAAGUCGAACGAGUGGCGGACGGGUGAGUAAUGUCUGGGAAACUGCCUGAUGGAGGGGGAUAACUACUGGAAACGGUAGCUAAUACCGCAUACCAUCAGAUGUGCCCAGAUGGGCUUAGCAAGUAGGUGGGGUAACGGCUCACCUAGACGACGAUCCCUAGCUGGUCUGAGAGGAUGACCAGCCACACUGCAACUGAGCCAAGGUCCAGACUCCUACGGGAGGCAGCAGUGGGGAAUAUUGCACAAUGGGCGCAAGCCUGAUGCAGCCAUGCCGCGUGUAGUAAGAAGGCCUUCGGGUUGGAAAGUACUUUCAGCGGUGAGGCGUUACCCUCAGAAGAAGCACCGGCUAACUCCGUGCCAGCAGCCGCGGUAAUUC
rnacentral:rRNA from 1 species